ACCAUGCCAUUCCCCUCCCACCAUGUGCUAUGCCUCCCCCUAAACCAUGCUUACCUCUUGCCCGGCCACGCCUUCCCUAUAAAUGAGGAGCUGAAUCUCCUAAGGCCUGGAGCCAAAAUAAAUCAUUCUAUAAGGUAUUUCGCUAUAGUGGCCUGAAGCCUAACUAAUAUAGGCUCUCUGGGGUACACUUCUUUGAGUCUCUGGACCACUUUCUGUUUCAUCUCAUCAUCCUUUCUCAUCCAUCUCCCUGAGAAGCAGGGAGCAUCCCCGGGCUCCAGAUGGAAAAUGCCACUGAGAUGUCUGCCACAGGAGAGAGUGGGGGGUUGGACAGCUGAGAUGAUACAGGCUUUUCUUAGAUGGCGAUGUUCACAGCCUGCUGGCCACAGGGUUCGAGGGCCAAGAAAGCCCUCUUUGUUCUGGGCAGACAGUGCAAAGCCUCGUUGCCAUAGCAGCCACAGCCACUUCCUGUACUCAUCCUGGACAGCAGCUCAGCUGGGUCUUGGUUCAGGCCCUGAGAAGCCCACAGCAGAGUUCAACAGGGCUCUAAGCACAUCAGAUGGACCACACAAGCCAGCUGCGGAUCCUCCUGAACAGACCAUAUGACGUAAUCUUUGGAGAUCAACUAGAACAACACACAGGCUUCUUCUGAUUAACGUCCAGCCAAAUAAAGACCUAGAUUUGGCUUGGAGCA
rnacentral:lncRNA from 1 species